rnacentral:lncRNA from 1 species
CAUUAUAUGGGAAUGCCAAUAUAGAUAGAUAGAUAGUAGAUGGGCUCCGAAUAGAGUCUGAAUGUGCCAACUCCACAUUUGGACUUCAUUCAGAAACAACGAGUACUCGACAGUCCACUUCGCGGAUAAUUUUGAUGCAGUUCAAAUGACUCCGUUUGUGAUUAAAAAAACUCUAUUUUGUCUACUUUACCUUCAAAUUCCGCAAUACAUCCACCACACAGCCAAAAAAAGCCAUUUU